rnacentral:piRNA from 1 species
UGAUACAAUAACGUGUUUUUA